AUAUAAGGUUUACAUGAUCCACUCCCCUAGAUGAUAUGGGAUGUCACAAUCCACCUCUCUUAAGGGCCCGACGUCCUCGUCGGCCCACGUCCGGCCAGGGAUUGGCUUUGAUACCAAAUUGUCACAUCCCGACCCGAGGUCCACCACAUCCCAAACUCGACUCCACCGUAGCACGAUAUUGUCCGUUUUGGGCCCCGACCACGCCUUCACGGUUUUGUUUCUGGAAACUCACACAAGAACUUCUUAAUGGGUCACCCAUCUUGAGAUUGCUCUCGCUUAUAGGGCCCACUUCUCAUCGAACUUUAACGAUCCGUACACUUUUAUUUUUAAGUUGCACUUUAUAGAUUAUCCUUGGCCAAAUGGAAAAUAUUUGAGGUAUAAAAUUGAGUUCAAAGAAAUUUACGAAUACUAUUUUAUAAGAAACAUUAAAAUUUCAUCAUGACAAUCAAAUGAGUAAAUGGUUUUAGAUUAAAAUGAUAUUUUUGUAAAGAUGAUCUAUAAAUGAAGACUUCAAUUGUAGAUAAUUUAGAUUAUUAAAGUUCGAUGUAAAAUGGGUCUCCCAACUAAUCCUUAUUUUAAAAAAGAAAAGGAGAAUUCUUUUAAAUAAAAGGUGAUAUAUAUAUGUCCUUGUAAUGAGAUAGCUUGAGUUUGAUUUGACCCCAACUAAUUCGUUAAAGCUUGACUAAUAGUUAGACUUUCUAAUCUUAUAAUGAAAAUAUAAAAUGUCAUGAAAAAUCAAAUCAAACUAUUAUAUUGGUUAUGUUAAAUUAAAGUAUAUUGAAAUGUUGAUAGCUUUUCUUUCUUCAUAUUGACAUAUUGACAUAUUGACCAUCUCAUGAAUGUAUACAGUCUUCUUAGAGCAUGUCCGACUAUUAUGUUUGUUUUUUAUUUGCGCUAUUAUGUUUCAGUCACCAUUGAGCUAUAAGCCAAAAUUCAGUUUGAGCUCGUUUAAAAACUAGUUGAGCCAUUAUGAGGUAGAGCUCAAUCCAUAAAUGAAUUGAGCUAAGCCGACCUCGAGUUUAGAAAUGUCCUUCAACCGGAGCUUGAAUCUAUUAGCUUCGUUCAAGCUUAACCUUGAAUCGUAUUAGCUGAGCCAAACUUGAUCAUCUCGGUACUCGAUUAAUUUAACCCUUAGGGCUCGUUUGGUAGGUGGGAUGUGAUUGGACUUAAUAUUUAGGAUAGGUUAGGAUUGGAUUGGAGUGGACAGGAUGAGACAUGUUUAGUGUAGACAAGUAACUUGGACUGGUUAUGAAUUAAUUUACUUAUAAAAUAGGAAACUUUAACGAAAAACCACAUUUUUACAGUAAAAAGUCAAUCAUGGUACUAUUCACUUUACCCAUUAUUUUUGUCAUUUUCGUUAAAACUCAAAGUUUUCAAGUCAUUUAAUUAAUUUUCCUUAUAAAAUAAGGAAAAUUACAACAUUUGACUUCUCUUUAUUUCUGCAAUUACAAAACUAUAACAUCCCAACGACGACCCACACCACCCGCCCACUUGCUGCUCGCAACUCGCAACAACUAUCGUGACCCACCCACGAUGUCACACCGCUCGACCACCCCACAAUGCCGCUUUGACGACCCCACAUGUUGGGGCUGCUCGCGACGAGAUGUGCGGAGCAAGGUUCUAAAAGAUGCUAGGUGCUAGACAAGCAACAGACUGGGGUCUAGCACCUAAGUGGCUAGGCGGGCUUAGGUGGACUAGGCAGAUUUAAGUAAACUUAUUAUAUAUUGUAUAAAUAAUUGUCAGUUUAUAUUUAAAAAGUGCUCAAUUGUAUUGAGAUAGAUAAAUUGAAAAAUAGAAUGACAUAUAGAUUAGAAAGUAUUAGAACAUGUUGAAAACAUGGGGAACCAAAAUGUAAUGAGUUUCCUUCCAAAUAUUCAACAAGUUUCUUAUAAUUUUUUUUUAAUGCAAUAUGAAAGUUAUCUAUUUUUUGUCUAAGUGAAAGUCGCGACCUAAGUGGGUGCCUAAGCAGGUCUAUGUGCUCUUUCUUAAUUUUCAAACGCCUAGGGAUUAAUUGGGGUGGUGGAUAGCCGUCUAGUGCCUAGCGCAUAGGCUCUAGGCAGGUAUUUUUAGGACAAUGUUGUGGAGAGAGACAAGGUCCAGUGAGAGAAAAGUCGGGAGAGAGAGAUGAAGAUUACGGAAUGAAAUAAUGACAAAGAGAGGCGAGGAAGAACACGACAUGCGCCUCAUGUAGAUGGGAUUUGUAACCCAUGUGUGAGGUUGGGUUAUAUAAGCCACCUGAUUUUGGAUUUGUAGCCGAUCACGUUUAAUCCCAUCCCAGUUACAUUUAACACCAUCAAAUAUUGGACUUGGACUCAUAGCCAUUUUAACUGGCCAUAAUCUAUCUCAUCCAAUCCAUCAAACGAGCCCUUAAUCUUAGUGAAGGGUCAUGAUACAUAACUUAUUGUGUACUCACUAACUUUUAAUGAUUGUAAGUUCUAGCAAUUUUUCCCCUUAGAUUUAUGUGAUUGAUUAAAUUUAUUAGAGAUAUGCCAAGACGACUUUCCCAAAAGUUGGACUCUCUAUAACUUUAUGUUACUUCAUGUUUUUGGCACAAUGUUUUAUAAUGCCCCGAACGGGAAUUGAAGUUAAAUUAUGACGUGGUAGAAAAUCCAUAAAGAGCCUAACUUUUAAGAGAAUCUCCUCAACAUUACAGAACUUAUUAUUUGACUUACUUUUUGUCAUAAUGAAAGUAAUUGACUCUGGUUUUGUUCUAAGGAGAGAAUCCUACUCCUUGUUCUAAUUCUAACUCCAUUUCCCUCCCACCCCUCACGAGACAAAUAAUGAAUCUUUAUAUAAAUGGUACCAUUUUUCUCGGAACAAAAUUAAAAAAAAUCAAGUAAAAGAAAAUCUCAUACAACUCCUGAGGGAAGUUUUGUUUCUAUUGAUAAAAAAUUGAAGAAAUGAACCUCGAGUACUAGAGUAAUACUUAUCAAUCACUUGAGUUAUAAGUCAGACAACUUUAAAAAAAAUUAAAAUGUCGUACAUGAUAUGAUACAUAAUUAAAAUAAAAAAGGUAAUUUUCAUUUAACUACUCUCAAGUUUCUUAACUUCUAGCUUUUCAUACUAAUAGAUUUAUUUUCCUCUCACUUUCAUAAUUUUCUACCACUUUUGUAACUUUAGCUUGGUCGUGCUUUUCUGUUAAUUGAUGACGUGAUAUAAUUUUCACCCACUAAUUCAUGUGAAAGUGGAAGUUU
rnacentral:lncRNA from 1 species